ACGACGACGACAACGUGAGCCGUGACACGGUUUGAUCUUUUUUAUUUUAACCCGCUCAAUAGGAUGCCACCCAGUCGGUCGACGGCUGUCAACGAUAUCCGCGUCCUCCGCGGAAUAUCGCCGUCUCUCCGGGUCCUGGUCUGAUGAUAAAUCGCUUGUCGACGACGGCGUCCCGUUUAGGAGCCGCGUGGUCUGUCGAUCGUAAACUGUCCUGAUUUUCACCCGCCAAUGAAGUAUAACGGUGCGUACCACGUAGACCGUCGUCUAGAAGUCGGGGCGGAUGCUUCGCGACCCUAUAAGCCCGACCGGAAGAUGUGGCGGUGGCGAAACCGAUG